UGAGACAGUUCGGUCCCUAUCUGCCGUGGGCGUUGGAAGAUUGAAAGGGGCUGCUCCUAGUACGAGAGGACCGGAGUGGACGCACCACUGGUGUUCGGGUUGUCAUGCCAAUGGCAUUGCCCGGUAGCUAAGUGCGGAAGAGAUAACCGCUGAAAGCAUCUAAGCGGGAAACUUGCCUUGAGAUGAGUCUUCCCUGACCCUUUAAGGGUCCUAAAGGAACGUUUAAGACUAAGACGUUGAUAGGUUGGGUGUGUAAGCAUAGCGAUAUGUUGAGCUAACCAAUACUAAUGAACCGUGAGGCUUAACCUGACAACACCGAAGGUGUUU
rnacentral:rRNA from 1 species